UACGGAAGGCAGCAGUGGGGAAUAUUGGACAAUGGGGGCAACCCUGAUCCAGCCAUGCCGCGUGUGUGAAGAAGGCCUUUUGGUUGUAAAGCACUUUAAAGCAGGGAGGAGAGGCUAAUGGUUAAUACCCAUUAGAUUAGACGUUACCUGCAGAAUAAGCACCGGCUAACUCUGUGCCAGCAGCCGCGGUAAUACAGAGGGUGCGAGCGUUAAUCGGAAUUACUGGGCGUAAAGCGAGUGUAGGUGGCUCAUUAAGUCACAUGUGAAAUCCCCCGGGCUUAACCUGGGAACUGCAUGUGAUACUGGUGGUGCUAGAAUAUGUGAGAGGGAAGUAGAAUUCCAGGUGUAGCGGUGAAAUGCGUAGAGAUCUGGAGGAAUACCGAUGGGCGAAGGGCAGCUUCCUGGCAUAAUAUUGACACUGAGAUUCGAAAGCGGUGGGUAGGCAAACAGGAUUAGAUAACC
rnacentral:rRNA from 1 species